ACAGAGAGCUUGUCGCUGGGGAUUCAGGUUGGGCCAUCCCCAGCCAAAGCCCUGUCCACGAGGCUGCCUGAUUCAGGUGGAGCCAGGAGGAAACUUUGCAUCAGCCCCAGUAGGUGGGAAGCAGCAUAUUAUGCAGAAGUGUGCAGUGGAAUAAAUUCACUCCAUUCAUAUCUGGAAAGAGUAAAAGACAAGGAGGAAAGUAGCAGGCUCCCACAAGUCCCUUCCUUGGCACAACCCUAAUGAUCUGAAGACAUUCACCAGGCUCCACCUCUGCAAGUUUUCGCCACCUCAAGGCUGAACAGAGAUUCUCAUUGCCCUCCUGGAGGUAAAAUUCACAGAUGUGUGAGCACCCCCUGUGACCGAGCCCCCUGAGGUUUUGAAGAUGAGAGUUGUCCACUCUCUACAGUUCACCAGCUAGAGUUCAGGCUCUCCAGAUGCUUCCAGAGAGGUUUUAUGCCUCUCCCUAGUCUGCACACAUUAAUCACAGAGAGAUAAAUUGUAGCUUUGCAAUAGAAAAGUCUGGAAAACAUCACCUUAACCAAUCUGUCAAAGCUACAUCACCAUGAACAGGACAAAUUGAUAGGAUUUGCCUCUGAUAUAAUAUGCCAAGAAAGAAGAAACAUGAGUUAA